UACAGAGGUCCCAAGCGUUGUUCGGAUUCAUUGGGCGUAAAGGGUGCGUAGGCGGCGCGGUAAGUCGGGUGUGAAUCUCGGGGCUUAACUCCGAACUGCAUUCGAUACUGCCGUGCUUGAGGACUGGAGAGGAGACUGGAAUUUACGGUGUAGCGGUGAAAUGCGUAGAUAUCGUAAGGAAGACCAGUGGCGAAGGCGGGUCUCUGGACAGUUCCGUGACGCUGAGGC
rnacentral:rRNA from 1 species